CCACAUCCCCAUCUCCGCUUCCCACCAAACCGAGCGCCAUCGCGAUGCCACCUCCCGCCGUGAGCACGGCGCCGGUAGCUCCGGUCGUCGCGUCGUCGUCAUCGGCGGCGGCGGCGGCGCCCCGUAGACCUCGCUCGCUCCGCCUCCGCGUGACCCCGUACGCCUCCGUAUCCUCGUCGUCCUCCCCUUCCACCUUCGCCGUCUCCAUCCCACCGCCGCCUCCAGCGAGGCAUUCCCGCAAGCAGCUGGUGGGCAGGGACGGCGCCCCCGCGAAGCCCGCGAAACCUCGGGUGUUCUUCCUCGACGUCAACCCUCUCUGCUUCCGCGGAUCCCAGCGCAGCCUCGGCGCCUUCGCGCGCUGGCUCGCGCUCUUCUUCGCGCACGUCAGCCUCCGCGACCCCGUCGUCGCCGUUUUGGACGGGGAGGGCGGGAACGAGUACCGGCGGCGGCUGCUACCGUCCUACAAGGCGCACCGACCUCGUGGCCCUGGUACAGGCGCCGAUUCGCGCGUUAUCGAUGUUCUUCGCGAGUGCAAUGUUCCGGUCGUCAGAGUCGAUGGGUAUGAGGCAGAUGAUGUAGUGGCUACCUUAACAGAGCAAGUUUUACAGAAAGGUUUUAGAGUUGUCAUUGGCUCACCAGAUAAAGACUUCAAGCAGCUGAUAUCUGAAGAUGUUCAGUUAGUUAUGCCCAUUCCUGAGAUUGGCCGUUGGUCCUUUUAUACGCUGAGGCAUUAUGUUGCACAGUACAAGUGUGACCCAACCGCAGAUUUGAGCCUCAGGUGCUUCAUAGGUGAUGAAGCAGAUGGUAUUCCAGGAAUACAGCACCUUGUUCCUGGUUUUGGUCGGAAAACUGCAGUGAAACUUCUAAAGAAACAUGGUUCAUUGGAAAAUUUGCUUAAUACAGCUGCAGUUAGAACUGUUGGCAAGGACUAUGCCCAGGAUGCUCUAGUUAAGCAUGCAGAUUACCUGCGGAAAAAUUAUGAAGUUCUCAGCUUGAAGAGCACAGGGAUGUAAAAGUUCAGCUUGAUGACAGAUGGUUAUCCACAAGGGACUCUUGCAACGACAGCAGUGUUUUGUCUGACUUCAUCCUUAAAUUUAACGAAGGGCAGAAUAUCAGAGGAAAUUAGUGUAUUCUUGGAUCCAUCAAAUAACUCCUUGCUACGGGAUUCCUGAUAAGUUAUUCUUCUUUUAGCGGCCUAUUGUUGUAGUAUCAUUUCAGAAAUGCAGUUCAUUAUAGAUGCAGAGUAGAAAUCGCAUUGCCAGCAUUACAGUCGUUUUCCCCCAAGUCACUCAUGCCCUGGGCUAGAUAUAGCAUACGUGAGAUGUACUGCCUCUUCAGUUUGGUUAAUGUUGUAGUCUAGUGCUAGGACUGUAAUUUUGUAUCAGUAGCCGUUCAAGGUUCUAGAAGAGCAAGGAGUAGUAUCUAACCAAGUACCAACCCACAUUUUGAUACCAAGUGCGUGGUUAUGUGCAAGCUAUACUGAGUCAUCAAACAGCUGCCUACUCAAUUCUUCUCGUCUGUCACACUAUCAACAUAGCUUAAACCAAGAAGAUUCAAGAAGUAGCAAAGUGUGCAUUCUGAAGGGCAGUCGUGAUGAUAUAUUGAUAUGAAGUGUCCUCCGAUGCUUUUAGUGAGAAUUGGAUCUUCAGGGUUUUUUCUUUCUGGCAUUCUGCAAUGUUAUUAAGGUGUAGCGGCAGUUUAGGGUACUACUCCCUCCGGUCACAAAUAAAUAACAUUUUGAAAUGCGUACAACCAAUAUGUUUAAACCUUGAUUGUCAAUUUCUGUUUAAAUAUUUCAAUUCAGCAUUCAAAAGUAAUAUGGUUAGACUCGUCUCAAAAAUAUUUUCAAAAUAUUAUAACUUUGCUAUACUUGUUGUAGUAUAAGUUCUAUAUUGUAAAACAAGUGCAUUGAUGAUUGUGUCAUUAUCUAAAAUGUCACUUAUGUAUGACCGGAGUAAUAUGCUUGUUUUUUUAGAUAAUAAAGAGUAAUAUGUUUGGCUUGUGAAAUCUGCUAACACCCAUGGACAGAGAACCCUUUAUUUUUCUUCAACAGGAACUGUCAUCAUUAAGCGACUAAUGUCGCUUCUUCUUUUAUUAAUCAACCACAUUAUCUAAAAAAAGAUCAUUGGAUAUCCUAAUUCUGCAACCUUAAACGUUGCAAGGAUAAUCAACGGAUGAACACCGAACGUUGUAAAGGGUUUUCGAAAGAGCAUCUCGUUGCCCCGAGACACGUGGCCUGAAUCUCGGUGACUUUGGUCGCGUAUACUCAUACAAGGCUCCAAAAAGGGUUAAUAGCCCAAAUAGUGGGCAUCGGUUUUGCAACCGUUGCCAUGAAAUGGAAUCCGAGGUUCAGCCUUCAAGUCAUGCCCAUCUUCAGUAGAGUACUCCAGUACUACUACUUGUGUAUACAGAAUUCAGCGCUUUCAGGUUUCAACUGUUUCCUCACUUUCUCGGGCAAUCGUGAGUCAGUUUUUUUCAGCCUGUUUCAGAAUGUUGUUUUACUGUCUAACUUAACCCAGCUCUUGAGUCGAUGAGUGGUACUUCUGUUGCUCUGGCACAAAAUAUAGUACUGUCAAAUCUGCAGGUACAUAAUUAACGACAGGAGAUUUAGGAUUUACAAUCGGUCAUGAUGAUCAAUCUGCAGUGAGGAUGCAAGAGUUGAACUGGAGAGCGAGCGAGCACCGAACAGAACUUUUGCAGUUCCCGAAAACAUGGUAUGCUUUAGGUUUUCGCCUUUCCCUGCUUUCUUUCUUCACUCACUACUAGUACAACUUUGGAGCUGGAGUACAAAACGAUUCACUUUCAUUUCCUAGCUGUUAUAUUCUCGCCUUUAUACCUCGCCAAAUGGAGUGCUAAUCCUAAUUGCGGUUGCCUAAUUGGGAGCAGGAGUAGCACUGAAAACAUCUCCUUUAGCACCUAUGCAUAAUGCGAAACACGCUACUUGUUGGCGGUCUGGCUGGCAGAUUUGGGUACCCAAAUGUAUCUGGUUGUACCUGGUCUACUGAUAGUUGAAAUGAAGUGGCUCACUUAUCCUCA